UAAACUGAAGAGUUUGAUCAUGGCUCAGAUUGAACGCUGGCGGCAGGCUUAACACAUGCAAGUCGAGCGGAUGAAAGUAGCUUGCUACUGGAUUCAGCGGCGGACGGGUGAGUAAUGCUUAGGAAUCUGCCUAUUAGUGGGGGACAACAUCUCGAAAGGGAUGCUAAUACCGCAUACGUCCUACGGGAGAAAGCAGGGGAUCUUCGGACCUUGCGCUAAUAGAUGAGCCUAAGUCGGAUUAGCUAGUUGGUGGGGUAAAGGCCUACCAAGGCGACGAUCUGUAGCGG
rnacentral:rRNA from 1 species